rnacentral:lncRNA from 1 species
GCGUCUCACUCUGUCACCCUGGCUGGAGUGCAAUGGCGUGAUUUAGGCUCACUACAAGCUCCGCUUCCCGGAUUCACGCCAUUCUCCUGCCUCAGCUUCCCGAGUAGCUGGGACUACAGGCGUCUGCCACCACAUCCGGCUAAUUUUUUGUAUUUUUAGUAGAGAUGGGGUUUCACCGUAUCAGCCAGGAUGGUCUCGAUCUCCUGACCUCAUGAUCCACCCUCCUCGGCCUCCCAAAGUGCUGGGAGUACAGGCGUGAGCCACCAUGCCAGGCCGCCUGGCUUUUUUUUGUAGAGAUGGGAUCUCAUUAUGUUGCCCAGGCUGGUUUCAGACUCCUGAGCCCAAGCAAUCCACUCACCUCGGCUCUCCAAACAUCUGGGACCGCACCCAGGCAUGCACCACUGCACCCAGCCUAUUUCUUACUUUCUUUCUUUUUUUUUUUUUUUUGAGACACAGUCUUGCUCUUGUCACCCAGGCUAAAGUUCAAUGGCACGAUCUUGGCUCACUGCAACCUCCACCUCCCAGGUUCAAGCAAUUCUCCUGCCUCAGCCUCCCAAGUAGCUGGGAUUACAGGCGCCCACCACCAUGCCUGGCUAAUUUUUGUAUUUUUAGUAGAGACAGGGUUUCGCCUUGUUGGCCAGGCUGGUCUUGAACUCCUGACCUCAGGUGAUCUGCCCGCUUCAGCCUCCCAAAGUGCUGGGAUUACAGCUGUGAGCCACCGCACCUGGCCCUAUUUCUUACUUUCUAGUCCAUAUGUAUUUAUUUCCUUUUCUUGCCUUAUUCCAGUGCUGAAACUUCCAGUAGUAUAUUGAAUAAGGAUGAUGAGAGUGGGCACCCUUGCCCUUUUCUUAGUAUUAGAGGGAAAACAUUCAGUCUUACACCAUUGAAAGUGCAACCAGGCAUGGUGGCUCACACCUGUAAUCCCAGCACUUUGAGCGGCCAAGUUGGGCAGAUAACUUGAGGUGAGGAGUUCGAGACCAGCCUGGCCAACAUGGUGAAACACCAUCUCUACCAAAAAUACAAAAAAAAAAAAAAAAAUAGUCGAGUGUGCUGGCCUGCACCUGUAGUCCCAGCUACUCAGGAGGCUGAGGCAGGAGAAUCACCUGAACCUGAAAGGAGGAGGUUGCAGUAAGUGGAGAUGGUGCCACUGCAUUCCAGCCUGGGUGACAGAGCAACCCCUAUCUCAAAAACAAAAAAAUUUUUAAGGAAUGAUGUUAAAUGACAGAAGAUGAGAAAGACAGCAGAGUAAGUCUCUCCAGCCAUUAUCUCCCAGCAGAAACAUCCAUUUGAGCAACUAUCCACACACAAAAUUACUUUCACAAGAGCCAAAAAAAAAAAAAAAACUCGAACACACGAGUGAAGCUGGGAAGCGCCCUUGGACCACAAAGACAAGCAAAACCACGGUUGGAAGGUAAAGGGAUCAGUUCUCUGUGCUUGCAACAUGCCUCCCCUCAAGCCAUUAUGGCACCACACGUGGAAACUCCCCAUGGACCCAUGAUUUUUACACUGGAAAAACUGAGCUAGGGGUGGACAUACAGAUUCCCCAUCAUUCCGGGCCCCUCCACAAAAGACUCACUCCUGUAUUGGCCCAUAGAGAACACUGCAAGUACCUAAGGCCAGUUAAAGACAAAAAGAAGGGGUGGGGUUGGGCAGCCACUGCAAGGAAUUUGGCAGUGGCUCUCCAUCCCUGCCAGAGGAGAUGCUGCACCAAAGACACUGUUUACAGAAACCAUGCUGCAGGAAGCAUGGUCCACAGAUCCUCUGGCCUUGAGGGCCUGGCUGGUUCUCCACAGGGCCCAGGUGCCCUCUGUGGCUCUCCCACCUGCCCCAUCCAGGUCCGACAUUUCAUCAGCAGUGAAGCUAGUGCCAGACUCGCCUCUAACCUGGGCUUAGGGUACCCCCUAGUGUUGAAAUGGAAGACAACAGUCAGUCCACUCACAAUUUCUAAAUAAGCCCACUGAAAUAGAAUGGUCACAAACAAACUCAGGCUGUAAAGACCGUAAUAAACACCUAAUUCACCAAUGCAUAGAUAGAGACGCAGAUCUAGGAAUAAGAAUAGCCUAGGAACGUGCCUCGUCAAAUAGACAGAACAAAAUGCCAAUGAAUUAUCCUAAAAACAUGCAAAUGAAUGGUCUGGCAGGCAAAGAAUUCAAAACGGCUGUUUUAAGAAAACUCAGAGAACUUAAAGAAAACAUAGAGAAACAAUUCAGACGUUUGUCAGAGAAAUGUAACAGCGAAAGUAAAAUAAUAAGAAACAAACAGAAACCUUGAAGCUGAGAAGUACAAUAUGAAAUGAAAAAUGUGCCGGGCGCGGUGGCUCAUGCCUGUAAUCCCAGCACUCUGGGAGGCCGAGGCGGACGGAUCACGGGGUCAGGAGAUCGAGACCAUCCUGGAUAACACGGUGAAACCCCG